UACGGAGGGGGCUAGCGUUGUUCGGAAUUACUGGGCGUAAAGGGUGCGUAGGCGGCGAUCCAAGUCAGGCGUGAAAGCCCCGGGCUCAACCUGGGAGGUGCGCUUGAUACUGGAUUGCUCGAGUCCGGGAGAGGAUAGCGGAAUUCCCAGUGUAGAGGUGAAAUUCGUAGAUAUUGGGAAGAACACCGGUGGCGAAGGCGGCUAUCUGGACCGGCACUGACGCUGAGGCACGACAGCGUGGGGAGCAAACAGG
rnacentral:rRNA from 1 species